AUUUUUAAUUUAUGGCAUUGCAGUACUACGUGUCAAGUCGCUGCUCUUGUUUAGAUGGAAUGUGGCAGUUGAUUGGCCUUCAUUUGGUUUUAGGAAAUGAUAACAUUUUCUAGUUAUUGGGAAUUGCUUAUUCUCUUUUUCUGUUUCUCUUCUCUUUUCCUGUGCGGUGAUAGCGGUUGCGCUUACCGUCCGCACUUCUUGGUGUAUUGAUUUCCUGGACAUGUUCCAGCUUUUUGCUGGUUGGUCUUACUUAACCCAUCUUUUUUUAGUUAUUCUUCAUAAAUCAUAUAAUAAAUGUAAAGAAAAGGCAUAUCUUCAUGAGAGCACAAUUACCUGAGUAGUAUUACUAUUAGUAGCUAUCAUUAUUAUUAUAUCUUAGUGAUGUGCUUAUUUCUGGAGUAUGUCAAAUGUGAUUGCAAGAUUGCAAGGAAUGUCUAGGAAUAUUACGACUCAGUAUUCUGGUCCAUGCUUUUUUACUGCUAAGAUGUGCAAUGAGUUGAGACAAAGCUGUACUGUGACAGGUCAUGAGAUCCACUUAGAGGAGCAGAUGUGCUUGGCCAAUAAAAAGAAGUCAAUUUGCAAAAGGAUUACUGGCUUUCAGGUACCAAACCACAGUCUGUAGUUCUGAUCAUAUUAAUUUUCUGAUUUACCUUGUAAUGACUAAUGAGAUGCCAAUGUAAUGUUUCUUUGCAGUAUCUGCCGCAAGACCCAUCUAAAGUAAUGGUUACUUCUGCUGACUCUCAUGUCAGAAUUCUAGAUGGCGUCAAUGUGAUCAGCAAGUACAAAGGUUUGUUCCCUUUUCUUAUUUCAGAUAGCAACCCAUUUGAUGUCUUUUUGCCCUGUCAUUUGAGGACCUUGUGCUUGCUCUAAAACGGCAAUGAAAAUUGAUAUGUGAUUUUGUAUGAUCAUGGGACAUAUAGUAUACUUAUUUUAUUUUUUGACUUGGGUACUUGUUGUGAUCUCUCCAUUGUAGUUUCUAGUUUUAGCUACUUGUAGCUCCUUAUCCUUUACUGUUUUCUAAUUUACUGCUGC
rnacentral:lncRNA from 1 species